CCUACGGGAUGCUGCAGUGAGGAAUAUUGGUCAAUGGACGAGAGUCUGAACCAGCCAAGUAGCGUGAAGGAUGACUGCCCUAUGGGUUGUAAACUUCUUUUAUAAAGGAAUAAAACGAGGCACGUGUGCCUUUUUGCAUGUACUUUAUGAAUAAGGAUCGGCUAACUCCGUGCCAGCAGCCGCGGUAAUACGGAGGAUCCGAGCGUUAUCCGGAUUUAUUGGGUUUAAAGGGAGCGUAGAUGGGUUGUUAAGUCAGUUGUGAAAGUUUGCGGCUCAACCGUAAAAUUGCAAUUGAUACUGGCAGUCGUGAGUACAGUUGAGGUAGGCGGAAUUCGUGGUGGAGCGGUGAAAUGCUUAGAUAUCACGAAGAACUCCGAUUGCGAAGGCAGCUUACUAAACUGCCACUGACAUUGAUGCUCGAAAGUGUGGGUAUCAAACAGGAUUAGAUACCCCUGUAGUC
rnacentral:rRNA from 1 species